CCUGUGGCUGCAGUGGGGAAUAUUGCACAAUGGGGGAAACCCUGAUGCAGCGACGCCGCGUGAGUGAAGAAGUAUUUCGGUACGUAAAGCUCUAUCAGCAGGGAAGAAAAAAAGUCCUUUGGACUUUGGACGGUACCUGACCAAGAAGCCCCGGCUAACUACGUGCCAGCAGCCGCGGUAAUACGUAGGGGGCAAGCGUUAUCCGGAUUUACUGGGUGUAAAGGGAGCGUAGACGGCAGCGCAAGUCUGGAGUGAAAUGCCGGGGCCCAACCCCGGAACUGCUUUGGAAACUGUGCAGCUGGAGUGCAGGAGAGGUAAGCGGAAUUCCUAGUGUAGCGGUGAAAUGCGUAGGUAUUAGGAGGAACACCAGUGGCGAAGGCGGCUUACUGGACUGUAACUGACGUUGAGGCUCGAAAGCGUGGGGAGCAAACAGGAUUAGAUACCCCAGUAGUC
rnacentral:rRNA from 1 species